rfam:Aedes albopictus isolate Foshan contig53890, whole genome shotgun sequence.
UGCCCAGCAACUCCUAUCCCUCCCUCCACGCGGUACCGGCCGGAAACUAUGAGCACCCUUAGGGAAGAUCGGGUAACCAACCCCGGGGGGAACUUUGGUCGUAGGCUGACAGGGAAGG